rnacentral:rRNA from 1 species
GAUCAUGGCUCAGAUUGAACGCUGGCGGCAGGCCUAACACAUGCAAGUCGAACGGUAGCACAGAGAGCUUGCUCUUGGGUGACGAGUGGCGGACGGGUGAGUAAUGUCUGGGAAACUGCCCGAUGGAGGGGGGAUAACUACUGGAAACGGUAGCUAAUACCGCAUAACGUCGCAAGACCAAAGUGGGGGACCUUCGGGCCUCACACCAUCGGAUGUGCCCAGAUGGGAUUAGCUAGUAGGUGGGG